UCCGCCUGGGGACUACGGUCGCAAGACUAAAACUCAAAGGAAUUGACGGGGACCCGCACAAGCGGUGGAGCAUGUGGUUUAAUUCGAUGCAACGCGAAAAACCUUACCACUCCUUGACAUGGAGAUUAGAUCCUUCUUAACGGAAGGGCGCAGUUCGGCUGGAUCUCGCACAGGUGCUGCAUGGCUGUCGUCAGCUCGUGUCGUGAGAUGUUGGGUUAAGUCCCGCAACGAGCGUAACCCUCAUCCUUAGUUGCCAGCGGGUAAUGCCGGGCACUUUAAGGAAACUGCCGGUGGUAAACUGGAGGAAGGUGGGGAUGAUGUCAAGUCAGCACGGCCCUUAUGGGGUGGGCUACACACGUGCUACAAUGGUGACUACAAUAGGUUGCAAUGUCGCAAGGCUGAGCUAAUCCGUAAAAGUCAUCUCAGUUCGGAUUGUCCUCUGCAACUCGAGGGCAUGAAGUCGGAAUCGCUAGUAAUCGUGGAUCAGCAUGCCACGGUGAAUACGUUCUCGGGUCUUGUACACACUGCCCGUCACGCCAUGGGAAUUGGCUUAACUCGAAGCUGGUGCGCUAACCG
rnacentral:rRNA from 1 species